AUUGAACGCUGGCGGCAGGCCUAACACAUGCAAGUCGAGCGGAGCGUCGGACGGGUGAUUAAUGCCUAGGAAUCUCCCUGUUUGUGGGGUAUAACUUCCUGAAACGUUCGCUAAUACCUCAUACUAUCAGAUCAGCCUCGGUCGGCUUAGCUAGUUGGGGGGGUAAAGGCCUACCAAGGCGACUCUCCGUAACUGGUCUGAGAGGAUGAUCAGUCACACUGGAACUGAGACACGGUCCAGACUCAUACGGGAGGCAGCAGGGGGGAAUAUUGCACAAUGGGCGAAAGUCGGAUGCAGCCAUGCCGCGUGUAUGAAGAAGGCCUUCGGGUUGUAAAGUACUUUCAGCGGGGAAGCGUUACCCGCAGAAGAAGCACCGGCUAACUCCGUGCCAGCAGCCGCGGUAAUAC
rnacentral:rRNA from 1 species